rnacentral:rRNA from 1 species
AGAUUAAACUGAAGAGUUUGAUCCUGGCUCAGAUUGAACGCUGGCGGCAUGCCUUACACAUGCAAGUCGAACGGCAGCACGGAGCUUGCUCUGGUGGCGAGUGGCGAACGGGUGAGUAAUAUAUCGGAACGUACCCUGGAGUGGGGGAUAACGUAGCGAAAGUUACGCUAAUACCGCAUACGAUCUAAGGAUGAAAGUGGGGGAUCGCAAGACCUCAUGCUCGUGGAGCGGCCGAUAUCUGAUUAGCUAGUUGGUAGGGUAAAAGCCUACCAAGGCAUCGAUCAGUAGCUGGUCUGAGAGGACGACCAGCCACACUGGAACUGAGACACGGUCCAGACUCCUACGGGAGGCAGCAGUGGGGAAUUUUGGACAAUGGGCGAAAGCCUGAUCCAGCAAUGCCGCGUGAGUGAAGAAGGCCUUCGGGUUGUAAAGCUCUUUUGUCAGGGAAGAAACGGUGAGAGCUAAUAUCUCUUGCUAAUGACGGUACCUGAAGAAUAAGCACCGGCUAACUACGUGCCAGCAGCCGCGGUAAUACGUAGGGUGCAAGCGUUAAUCGGAAUUACUGGGCGUAAAGCGUGCGCAGGCGGUUUUGUAAGUCUGAUGUGAAAUCCCCGGGCUCAACCUGGGAAUUGCAUUGGAGACUGCAAGGCUAGAAUCUGGCAGAGGGGGGUAGAAUUCCACGUGUAGCAGUGAAAUGCGUAGAUAUGUGGAGGAACACCGAUGGCGAAGGCAGCCCCCUGGGUCAAGAUUGACGCUCAUGCACGAAAGCGUGGGGAGCAAACAGGAUUAGAUACCCUGGUAGUCCACGCCCUAAACGAUGUCUACUAGUUGUCGGGUCUUAAUUGACUUGGUAACGCAGCUAACGCGUGAAGUAGACCGCCUGGGGAGUACGGUCGCAAGAUUAAAACUCAAAGGAAUUGACGGGGACCCGCACAAGCGGUGGAUGAUGUGGAUUAAUUCGAUGCAACGCGAAAAACCUUACCUACCCUUGACAUGGAUGGAAUCCCG